UAUUCUGCCUUGUUCGUGUUUAUAUGGUUUUUAUAAUCCAACACUUCUAAUUAGGGAAUUCGGCUCCGGCUGUGGAUUGCAGACCUCCUGCUUGCAGAUGAAGGGAGCGUGAAGCAAUCGGGCGUUUACCCACCUGCUUCGUGCGGGUUUUAUUCGCUAUAUUAACGGCAAGGCGGAUUUU
rnacentral:other from 1 species